rnacentral:rRNA from 1 species
AUUGAACGCUGGCGGCAGGCCUAACACAUGCCAGUCGAGCGGAUGAAGGGAGCUUGCUCCUGGAUUCAGCGGCGGACGGGUGAGUAAUGCCUAGGAAUCUGCCUGGUAGUGGGGGAUAACGUCCGGAAACGGGCGCUAAUACCGCAUACGUCCUGAGGGAGAAAGUGGGGGAUCUUCGGACCUCACGCUAUCAGAUGAGCCUAGGUCGGAUUAGCUAGUUGGUGGGGUAAAGGCCUACCAAGGCGACGAUCCGUAACUGGUCUGAGAGGAUGAUCAGUCACACUGGAAGUGAGACACGGUCCAGACUCCUACGGGAGGCAGAAGUGGGGAAUAUUGGACGAUGGGCGAAAGCCUGAUCAAGCCAUGCAGCGUGUGUGAAGAAGGUCUUCGGAUUGUAAAGCACUUUAAGUGGGGAGGAAGGGUAGUAAGUUAAUACCUUGCUGUUUUGACGUUACCAACAGAAUAAGCACCGGCUAACUUCGUG